AUUGAACGCUGGCGGCAUGCUUUACACAUGCAAGUCGAACGGUAACAGGCCGCAAGGUGCUGACGAGUGGCGAACGGGUGAGUAAUGCAUCGGAACGUGCCCAGUCGUGGGGGAUAACUACUCGAAAGAGUAGCUAAUACCGCAUACGAUCUAUGGAUGAAAGCGGGGGACCGUAAGGCCUCGCGCGAUUGGAGCGGCCGAUGUCAGAUUAGGUAGUUGGUGGGGUAAAGGAUCACCAAGCCAACGAUCUGUAGCUGGUCUGAGAGGACAACCAGCCACACUGGGACUGAGACACGGCCCAGACUCCUACGGGAGGCAGCAGUGGGGAAUUUUGGACAAUGGGCGCAAGCCUGAUCCAGCAAUGCCGCGUGCAGGAAGAAGGCCUUCGGGUUGUAAACUGCUUUUGUACGGAACGAAACGGCUCUGGUUAGUACCCGGGGCUAAUGACGGUACCGUAAGAAUAAGCACCGGCUAACUACGU
rnacentral:rRNA from 1 species